rnacentral:rRNA from 1 species
GACGAACGCUGGCGGCGUGCUUAACACAUGCAAGUCGAACGGAAAGGCCCUGCUUUUGUGGGGUGCUCGAGUGGCGAACGGGUGAGUAACACGCGAGUAACCUGCCCCUGACUUUGGGAUAACUCCAGGAAACUGCGGCUAAUAUCGGAUAGGAGCUCCUGCUGCACGGUGGGGGUUGGAAAGUUUCGGCGGUUGGGGAUGGACUCGCUGCUUAUCAGCUUGUUGGUGGGGUAGUGGCUUACCAAGGCUUUGACGGGUAGCCGGCCUGAGAGGGGGACCGGGGUCCAUAGUACUAAGAGAGGGACCAGAAUCGAACGGGAGGCAACAGUGGAGAAUAUUACGCAGUGGGGGGGAGCCAGUUACGACAGCGCCGCGAGCGGAAUGCCGGCCUACGGGUUGUGAACAAAUUUCUACGGUGAUAUAGAGGGCGUGACGGUAAUGAGUAAGAAAGCACCGGCUAACUACGUG